GGGGAUGGGGCCUUAGCUCAGUGGUAGAGCAUCUGCUUUGUAUGCAGAAAGUCUCAGGUUCAAUCCCUGGCAUCUCCA